AACGCUGGCGGCGUGCCUAAUACAUGCAAGUCGAACGAACUCUGGUAUUGAUUGGUGCUUGCAUCAUGAUUUACAUUUGAGUGAGUGGCGAACUGGUGAGUAACACGUGGGAAACCUGCCCAGAAGCGGGGGAUAACACCUGGAAACAGAUGCUAAUACCGCAUAACAACUUGGACCGCAUGGUCCGAGCUUGAAAGAUGGCUUCGGCUAUCACUUUUGGAUGGUCCCGCGGCGUAUUAGCUAGAUGGUGGGGUAACGGCUCACCAUGGCAAUGAUACGUAGCCGACCUGAGAGGGUAAUCGGCCACAUUGGGACUGAGACACGGCCCAAACUCCUACGGGAGGCAGCAGUAGGGAAUCUUCCACAAUGGACGAAAGUCUGAUGGAGCAACGCCGCGUGAGUGAAGAAGGGUUUCGGCUCGUAAAACUCUGUUGUUAAAGAAGAACAUAUCUGAGAGUAACUGUUCAGGUAUUGACGGUAUUUAACCAGAAAGCCACGGCUAACUACGUGCCAGCAGCCGCGGUAAUACGUAGGUGGCAAGCGUUGUCCGGAUUUAUUGGGCGUAAAGCGAGCGCAGGCGGUUUUUUAAGUCUGAUGUGAAAGCCUUCGGCUCAACCGAAGAAGUGCAUCGGAAACUGGGAAACUUGAGUGCAGAAGAGGACAGUGGAACUCCAUGUGUAGCGGUGAAAUGCGUAGAUAUAUGGAAGAACACCAGUGGCGAAGGCGGCUGUCUGGUCUGUAACUGACGCUGAGGCUCGAAAGUAUGGGUAGCAAACAGGAUUAGAUACCCUGGUAGUCCAUACCGUAAACGAUGAAUGCUAAGUGUUGGAGGGUUUCCGCCCUUCAGUGCUGCAGCUAACGCAUUAAGCAUUCCGCCUGGGGAGUACGGCCGCAAGGCUGAAACUCAAAGGAAUUGACGGGGGCCCGCACAAGCGGUGGAGCAUGUGGUUUAAUUCGAAGCUACGCGAAGAACCUUACCAGGUCUUGACAUACUAUGCAAAUCUAAGAGAUUAGACGUUCCCUUCGGGGACAUGGAUACAGGUGGUGCAUGGUUGUCGUCAGCUCGUGUCGUGAGAUGUUGGGUUAAGUCCCGCAACGAGCGCAACCCUUAUUAUCAGUUGCCAGCAUUAAGUUGGGCACUCUGGUGAGACUGCCGGUGACAAACCGGAGGAAGGUGGGGAUGACGUCAAAUCAUCAUGCCCCUUAUGACCUGGGCUACACACGUGCUACAAUGGAUGGUACAACGAGUUGCGAACUCGCGAGAGUAAGCUAAUCUCUUAAAGCCAUUCUCAGUUCGGAUUGUAGGCUGCAACUCGCCUACAUGAAGUCGGAAUCGCUAGUAAUCGCGGAUCAGCAUGCCGCGGUGAAUACGUUCCCGGGCCUUGUACACACCGCCCGUCACACCAUGAGAGUUUGUAACACCCAAAGUCGGUGGGGUAACCUUUUAGGAACCAGCCGCCUAAGGUGGGACAGAUGAUUAGG
rnacentral:rRNA from 1 species